UUUCACUCCGUGGGUGUUCAGUGAAACUUGACAAAAGUUAGGCUUUCAUCUAUUGUAGCUAACACACUUCAGUGUGAUUGCAUCCUUAGAUCCGUCACUGGGCUGCGAUUUCCAUGGGGUCAUGGAUCAAGGUACAAUAAAACUCUCCUGCAUUAAAUGUGGCUCCGCAGAGGAAAUCUAAUUGACCAGAAGCAACAGCGCAGCACACCGACAUCAGAGGCAAGAGAUCAAGAGUUAAAAAGGCCACACAGAUGAAGAUUGUACUGUUCUAGAAAUUGGACUGGAGGUUGAAGCCUUGGAGAUUCUUGGAACCUCUUAUAAUGUUAUAAGGUGGAUUUAAGGACAAACUUCAGUAAAAAGAGGAAAAUUAUUUCUAAUUUAUUUUUUGCUAAAAUGAAAAAUAUUUGGCUAUUACAAUGAGCAUAAAAUAUGUGUCUGUAGCAUAUAUCAAUGCCCAUAAUUACUCACAAUUACAUAAACAAAUUGAUAAAGUAUGUUAGUAGUGUACAUUUUCCCAGUACUGUACACUGAAUCUAAAAAAAGAACUUUUUCUUUGCAUUGGUGAGAAACAUCUGUAUAGGUUGUGCCGUGUCCCCUGAUGUCUUAAAAACAAUGCUUAAAUCA